rnacentral:rRNA from 1 species
UACAGAGGUGGCAAGCGUUGUUCGGAAUUCCUGGGCGUAAAGCGCACGUAGGCGGACUCUUAAGUCAGUGGUGAAAUCCUGGAGCUCAACUCCAGAACUGCCUUUGAUACUGGGAGUCUUGAGUUCGGGAGAGGUGAGUGGAACUGCGAGUGUAGAGGUGAAAUUCGUAGAUAUUCGCAAGAACACCAGUGGCGAAGGCGGCUCACUGGACCGAUACUGACGCUGAGGUGCGAAAGCGUGGGGAGCAAACAGG